rnacentral:sRNA from 1 species
UAAAUAUAACACUGGUAUUUGUCUACUAUUAUCAUCAACCUAGGAUCUGCAGGAGCACCGACCUCUAUUAUCGUCUACCUCUAAUCGUGCAUAAUAGCAAAUAACCUGAAUUCAGUUCCUCCCAUGGGAUCAAGCGUGUCCUCAAGUACCUCGCAGGUAAGGGUAUGUUUCCCCGGUUCCAAGCCGACUGCUAUCUCUUUCACCCUAUCGUUCCGCAGCAGAAUGAGAGGUCGCACUAUACGAAGACAACAGUUAUAACUCACAUUCCCAUGUUGCGCUUGUUCAGCUUCCACCAUCCAUCAACUCUCUGGCCGCCAUCUCUAUCAUCAUCGAUCCAGCACCACACUGACCCUAGCCCGAGCUUCGCACUACGUUGAUAACCAAUGAGAAUUGAGCCACCUGCUUGAGGGUCUUGCCUAAUAUUAGGCUGGGAGAUGUAACGUUUACCUGGCAAGGUGUGAGAGGUAUGACGUGGUUGAUGGAAUGUGGUAGAGCUCCAGAUUGUGCGCAGGCCUGCCGAGCGGUAGGCCAGGGAGCCACGUUGUAAUUCUUGUUCGACAGGCAUGUCAUCUUCACCCUCAGCUUCGUGGACUUGCGAAGGCGUUUCGGCGGUUACAUCAUCAGCGCCAUCAAGGAGGAAUGCAAAAGGAUCAUCUGAGA